rnacentral:rRNA from 1 species
UACGUAGGGUGCGAGCGUUAAUCGGAAUUACUGGGCGUAAAGCGUGCGUAGGCGGUUCGUUAAGUUCGUUGUGAAAGCCCCGGGCUCAACCUGGGAAUGGCAAUGGAAACUGGCGGGCUGGAGUAUGGCAGAGGGGGGUGGAAUUCCGCGUGUAGCAGUGAAAUGCGUAGAGAUGCGGAGGAACACCGAUGGCGAGGGCAGCCCCCUGGGCCAAUACUGACGCUCAGGCACGAAAGCGUGGGGAGCAAACAGG